rnacentral:rRNA from 1 species
GUAGGUGGCAAGCGUUGUCCGGAAUUAUUGGGCGUAAAGCGCGCGCAGGCGGGUCCCUUAAGUCUGAUGUGAAAGCCCACGGGCUCAACCGUGGAGGGUCAUUGGAAACUGGGGGACUUGAGUACAGAAGAGGAAAGCGGAAUUCCAAGUGUAGCGGUGAAAUGCGUAGAGAUUUGGAGGAACACCAGUGGCGAAGGCGGCUUUCUGGUCUGUAACUGACGCUGAGGCGCGAAAGCGUGGGGAGCAAACAGGAUUAGAUACCCUGGUAGUCCACGCCGUAAACGAUGAGUGCUAAGUGUUAGGGGGUUUCCGCCCCUUAGUGCUGCAGCUAACGCAUUAAGCACUCCGCCUGGGGAGUACGGCCGCAAAGGCUG